UAUGACACUUAUUAAAACACACUUUUGUUUAAAAAAUUAAGGGACUUGAGAGAGAAUUUAGAGGAAGACAAAUGUAAUACGGAAGAACGAUUCUUAAAGCUCAACGAUAGGAUAGAAAUAUUAUAUACAGCUUUACCUUUUUCAAAUUUUAUUUGUGAAGAUUCCAAUUAUUUCCUUUAUUAUUCAUUCACCCUCCCCUGAUUGAUAAUGUGUGGCUGUAGGAAGGUAAAUUUAUUUGUUGCUCAAUUGCCCUAAACUAAUAUUGUAUAUUUUGCAGCUCUGAGAUGUCUAAGGAUCAAAUGGUUGUAGAUCUUACAUCACGCACAAAAGUACUAUUCUGGAGUGGGAUUUUUCUUGGUUCAGUGUCAAUUGGAGUCCUUGCCUAUGCUGUUUCCAGGCUGGUGUGAGGGACAACUUCGUAUAAUACUGAAGUUUUGAAAUGACGUCACCAUCAAAGAAAAUAAAGGAAACAUUGUAUAUGAAGGGGACGGAGGAGUUGCAGGUGGCGCUGCAGAGUAUUCCUUUAAUGGUGAUUAUUUUUGGGGAUUUAGUAGCACUGGAGACUUCAUGGAUGACAAUGAUUUCCAAAAUACACGUUACUCUGUAUCUCUGGCAUCUUCAAAUCUCUCUGAUUUAUACACGACAGCACGCAUAUCCCCAAUUUCAAUCACAUAUUUCCAUUAUUGCUUAGAAAAUGACUAUACUGUAAGUCUUCACUUUGCGGAGAUACAGUUUACAAAUGACCAAACAUAUACGAGUCUUGGCAGACGCGUAUUUGAUAUCUAUGUUCAGGAAGAAGUAUUGCGAAAGGAUUUCAAUAUUGAAGAUGAGGCAAAGAUGGCUCAAAAGCCUGUAAUACUAGAACAUAAUGUCA